UACGGCCACAUCACGUUGACAUACCGAUUCCCGUACGAACACCGAAGUUAGGCAACGUCGAGCCUAGUCAGUACCUAGAUGGGUGACCGCUUGGGAACACCAGAUGUUGUAA